rnacentral:rRNA from 1 species
UACGUAGGGUGCAAGCGUUGUCCGGAAUUAUUGGGCGUAAAGAGCUCGUAGGCGGUUUGUCGCGUCUGCUGUGAAAACGCGAGGCUCAACCUCGCGCCUGCAGUGGGUACGGGCAGACUGGAGUGCGGUAGGGGAGAUUGGAAUUCCUGGUGUAGCGGUGGAAUGCGCAGAUAUCAGGAGGAACACCGAUGGCGAAGGCAGAUCUCUGGGCCGUUACUGACGCUGAGGAGCGAAAGCGUGGGGAGCGAACAGG